UGCAGAUGAUGUAGAAGAAUAUUUGCUAUCUGGAAGAAGGUGAUGACGCUGUGAAACCACCAAGAUCGCUGAUGCA
rnacentral:snoRNA from 1 species